GAAAUUGUCGUCCUCGGCUGACAGCAAUGCCUGAAUGAAGUGUGGGGGAAUAUCCGCAAAACGGAUUGGAGACCGCCGCAUUUCGCCGAACUCGGCGAUCAGCUUGCCGUCACUGCUGUACACCCUCAGCGGUAUCUGCAACUGGAUGCUUCGCAGUGCCUCGACCGACGGCAGGCUGGGACUAAGAUACAGAAACGCGCCGCUCAGACCGAGGACGGCUGCGCAAAUGACUGCGACGAAAGACCACCAGAAGAACUUCAGCAGGCGUAUCAAGGCGUUGGGGUGUCCAGUUGG
rfam:Pseudomonas putida CSV86 contig00060, whole genome shotgun sequence.